rnacentral:lncRNA from 1 species
GGCUCAAGGACCUGGGCGGACAGGGCAGUAGGACUCUUAGUUUUCUUUUUUCUUUUUGUAGGUGUUGAGGCCAGUAGGCCUUGUAUUAUACAAUGUUAACGUUGAAUGUAGAUAUUUGUGUAAUUGCUCUUUUUAAGCUUUUUUCCUAAAUGUCUUGUUUUCUUUUUCCUCAUGCCGAUCCGACCUCGGCAGCGCGAGGUCGGGUAAGCUACUUGCGAUAGC